rnacentral:rRNA from 1 species
GACGAACGCUGGCGGCGUGCUUAACACAUGCAAGUCGAACGAGGCCCCUCCUUCGGGAGGGUGUCCUAGUGGCGAACGGGUGAGUAACACGUGGGCAACCUGCCCCCGGCUCUGGGAUAACUCCAAGAAAUUGGGGCUAAUACCGGAUAUGACCGCUGACCGCAUGGUCGGUGGUGGAAAGUUUUUCGGCUGGGGAUGGGCCCGCGGCCUAUCAGCUUGUUGGUGGGGUAGUGGCCUACCAAGGCGACGACGGGUAGCCGGCCUGAGAGGGUGACCGGCCACACUGGGACUGAGACACGGACCAGACUCCUACGGGAGGCAGCAGUGGGGAAUAUUGCGCAAUGGGCGGAAGCCUGACGCAGCGACGCCGCGUGGGGGAUGACGGCCUUCGGGUUGUAAACCUCUUUCAGCAGGGACGAAGCGAAAGUGACGGUACCUGCAGAAGAAGCACCGGCCAACUACGUGCCAGCCGCCGCCGUAAAAC